UGGUUGCUGGGAAUUGAGCUCAGGACCCCUAGAAGAACAAUCAGUGCUCUUAACCACUGAGCCAUCUCUCCAGCCCAGAGCUACUAUUCUUACAGUAGUAGCCGCACACAGAGUGCCCCAUACCCUCUACUGGCUGCACCAAGCCUACUUCUACUACUACAGAAUCUCCAUUCUUAUGUGGCCACCAGACUGUGAGUCUCUGACUCUGCCAAAGGUCACUCAUCCCAGCCAAAGACGCUCUAUAGAGGCUUCCUACACUGAGGUGCCCCUGAAGAAAGAGGGCCAUCAUUGCAGCAUACAGCAUGCAUAAACUGAUACCCCCACGACACUCCUGGAGAAUAUCCCUAGAAGACCAGAGUGUUAGAGAUACCUGACGUUUCUCUCAACACAAGAGCACAAGAAAUAGUGAUAAAUAUAAGAUACCUUCCAGAGAGCAUCACUGUCCAAUAAUGGCUUCCAGUGAAGUUUAAAUGGCCAAAUGCCUGAUAUGGGAAAUAAAGGAAUAAUGGGAUCAGUGAAGCCCAAGAGGAUAUAGAUAGUUCAAUAAGAUGCUCAGGAUAUGAAUGAGAACAUCAGAGGAGAGAGAGAGAGUUUGGAAAGAGAACCAAAUGGAAAUCCCCUAGAAGAGCUCAGACAAAUAUAUCGCUGAAGCCUCGGCAUCAGACUAGAAGGGAGGAAAGACUCCGUGGUAGUGAAAGGACCUUAUCUUUCCUAUCGAUAGAUUUUCACUAAGCCAGCCAGGCUACCUUUGACAGCACGACCCUCCUGCCUUCCCUUCCUGAUGCUGAAACCACAGGUGCAUGUUACCACCUCCAGGAAAGGCCUGUCGUUUUGAAACAUUCCUGUCACACAAAGAUGGAAGCUGAAAAAGCAAGAGUGAAAACAUUGAAGGCCUGUGAUCCACCAUUAAAGGACAAAUGUUCAUGUCCUGAAGGCAUGGGUGUGGGGUGUAAAAAAAAUUAAAAAAAAAAAAGUCUAUCUGAUAAAAGAAUGAAAGAAAACUCCCCUAAUCUUGAGAAAGAUACAGACGUCAUGGAGAAGAGGCUUGGGUGCCUGUAAAUGGACAAGACCAGAAAAGGUCUUAACCAUAGAUGAUGACUUGAAACUGUCAAAAGUACAAAACAAAAACUUCUAGAAUAUUUAAGAGAAUCUACCCACUCACAUUUAAGGAUGGUCUUGCUAGACCAGAAGCAUUUUUCUCCUCAUCAGAAACCUUGCAGGCCAUGGAUGGAUAUAAUGACAUAUUCCAAGGCUUGGAAAGAAAACAACAGACUAGUGAGUUGGCUCAAUGGGUGACAACAUUUGCUGCUACAGCUGACGCCUUCCAUCCCUAGAACCCCCGUGGUGGGAGGAAAGAACUGACUUUCCCCACUUGUCCUUUGCCCGUGUACUGCAUCACACCGCUACAACCUACAAAAAAAAUAGGUGUAAAAGCUAAAUAGAAUAUUCCUGGACUUCACAGAGAAUAACCGCCAAUCGAGAACGAUGUACCCAGCAAGGCUACCAAUCCUAAAAGCGGUAAAGGGCUCCAAAGACAGUCAGACCGAGAGAUUCAUGACCACCAUGCUGUCCUUUGAAAAGAUGCUCAGUGGAGCACUGCAUCCAGAUG
rnacentral:lncRNA from 1 species